UACGUAGGGGGCAAGCGUUGUCCGGAUUUAUUGGGCGUAAAGAGCUCGUAGGUGGUUCGGUAAGUCGGAUGUGAAAUCUCCAGGCUCAACCUGGAGGGGUCAUUCGAUACUGCCGUGCUUGAGGACUGGAGAGGAGACUGGAAUUUACGGUGUAGCGGUGAAAUGCGUAGAUAUCGUAAGGAAGACCAGUGGCGAAGGCGGGUCUCUGGACAGUUCCUGACGCUGAGGCACGAAGGUCAGGGGAGCAAACGGG
rnacentral:rRNA from 1 species